GCCGGGCAAGGUGGCCACACCUGUAAUCCCAGCAGCCUAGGAGGCUGAGGCAGGAGGAUCGCGAGUUCAAAGCCAGCCUCAGCAAUGGUGAGGUGCUAAGCAGCUCAGUGAGACCCUGUCUCUA
rnacentral:sRNA from 1 species